rnacentral:misc_RNA from 1 species
AAGUCGUAACAAGGUUUCCGUAGGUGAACCUGCGGAAGGAUCAUUAACAGAUUCUGCUAGCCAGAUAUCUUACCCCGUGUGAACUGUUCUUCUGACUUGGUGUCCAAGCACUGGGUCCUUCAGACUAGUCUUGUUGGACUUACGUCUAGGCACCGCAUUUUAUUACCCUUUUGACUAUGUAUGCCGAGAAAACUACCAAAGACUAGAAAACUUUUAGCAACGGAUCUCUAGGCUCUU